rnacentral:rRNA from 1 species
GUUUGAUCCUUACUCAGAACGAACGCUGGCGGCGUGCCUAACACAUGCAAGUCCAACGUGAAAGGGGAGCAAUCCCCCGGUAGGGUGGCAAACGGGUGAGUAAUACAUGGGUGAUCUACCUUAGGGAUGGGGAUAUCCUUCCGAAAGGAGGGGCAAUACCGAAUAUUGUCCGGAGCCGUGAAGGGUUCCGGGGAAAGGGAGGCCUCUGAUACAAGCUUUCGCCUUAAGAUGAGCCCAUGGCCCAUCAGCUAGUUGGUAGGGUAAAGACCUACCAAGGCUACGACGGGUCGCUGGUCUGAGAGGACGACCAGCCACACUGGCACUGAAAUACGGGCCAGACUCCUACGGGAGGCAGCAGUGAGGAAUAUUGCGCAAUGGGGGAAACCCUGACGCAGCAACGCCGCGUGUGGGAAGAAGGCCUUCGGGUCGUAAACCACUUUUGCACGGGACGAAAAAGGGAUAUCGAACAAAUAUCCCCGAUGACGGUACCGUGAGAAUAAGCCACGGCUAACUCUGUGCCAGCAGCCGCGGUAAGACAGAGGUGGCAAGCGUUGUUCGGAAUUACUGGGCGUAAAGAGUCUGUAGGUGGUUUGUCAAGUCUUUGGUGAAAGGCCGUAGCUUAACUAUGGGAAUGCCAAAGAGACUGGCAGGCUGGAGGCUGGG